ensembl:lncRNA novel transcript
UACGGUGGCCGCUGCGCCCAGUCACAUCUAUUGCAUUUCUCUGGAAUGACCACAGCAAUAUUUCCAGCCCUUGAUGAUCUUCUAGAACUUUGCCACUUCCCUGCAUCAAGAGAGCCAUGGAGAAGAGGAGACAGAGUGUGCAAGGGAAUGAAGAAAAGGAACAAGACUAUUUUCAAAUCACCCAUGGCACUACUAGAAAUGUAUUUCAGCAAAAGGACUGGCUGAUUUUAUGAUUCCUGUGUCCACCACAGCCCUCUAAUUUUUACAUAGGUACCCCACAUCUCUCUAGAUUUCAGGAAGACUAUUAUCCUUCGACUUUAGCUUUCUGAUGGGUUCACAAAAAGCCAUUAGUGUGCUGUUGGUCCAGCUUUUUUCUGUUGCAAAUAUGAGAGCUACAGUUCUGAGAUGAAACCACAGAUGUGCCUCGUACUCUUCCGCCAUGAUUGUAAGUUUCCUGAGGCCUCCCCAGCCCUGCGGAACUAAAUUAAAAAAUUCAUGUAACUGAAGAGUUAAAGUUUGAUGAAAUAGGAGCGUGAGUGAAGCAAGAUGACUACCAAUCAUCCCCUGUAAAGGAACACCAAAUUUAACAACUAUCUACACAAAAAACACCUACAUAAGAGCCAAAAACCAGUUCUUAAGAAUAACUGUACAAUGUGCUAGGAGUGCAACAUCCCUGAGAUAAGGAGAGACUGACUGGAACAGCAUGGGCUCAGUGCCAGUUCCACCCUAAAAGGAGGAUGUUCUUCAAUGCUUUAAAUCAGCAACUCACAUGACCUCAAGAUAUCAAACAUGGGAAUGGCGGGCUGCUUUCCAUGCUCCCCUCUCUGUGGUUCUGGUGGGAAAUACCCAGAGGAGACUUCACCUGCCCUGGGCAGCUUUCCUGAGCCUUGGGCCAGCUCACAGUGAGUCCUAGGCUUCUGUUGUUCCUUGCUGCCUAACUGUAAGUAUUAAUAAUAAAACUCAAAUAAGUUGGUAAUCAGUGCACAGUGAACCUGCUUCACAGCAAUAUUUUUUAUAAUUCCCUCUAUAUAGAGGAAUUGAAAGAUUAUGAAAUCUGAUCUAAAUAACUUUGUGCUGUUUAAGAAGAUAGUUGCUAGUAAAAGGAUUAUAAACUUGUAUUAAUCUUAGAAAUUUUAUAAAUUACAUUCUGCAUGAAAGAGAAUAAAAGCAAUUAUAAUUUAUCAAAUAUUCUGUUUCUUCAAUAUACCUGUAGAUGAAAUAUGUCAGUUUAGUAAAUUAUAAUUGUCAUAAUAAUUUUCUAAAUCUGCAAUUCCUACAAAGUUGUCUGUUUUAAUUUUAUUAAAAAAUAAUAUAAGCUAGUAAGCUCUGUCCAACUUUGUUUGUCAAAAUUGCUCAGGGCAAAAAUUUCCAGUGGAAAGCAAGAAAUAAGAUGGAAAACAUUAAUGAGUUAAAACAAAACUUUUUUUUUUUUAAAGAGAACCUAUGGAAUUUCUUUCAUUUCUAUUUUAACAUGUAAAUAUAUUCCAUCAGAUGAACUAUAGCAGAAUUGUAAGGCAGAAAAAUGAGAUGUUAACUGGAGACUUGGGUGGGAGGCAUUAAUUUGGGUUUUAACUGGAGUAAAAUUUAAAUUUUACUGUACUGGAGUAGAAUUUAGAUUAUCAUAUUGCACGCAUUACCCCUGUCUUUCAGUUUGAGGGCAUUGCAUUCUCUCAGAAGAGGAGUACAACUUGAUUUCAUGUGCUCUCCCAAGAAGUGAAAUUGAUUAGUUUCUUACAGCUUUAUAUUUUUGUCUGUAUUUUUUAAGGUUUCCUACAAACCAUUUUAAAUGUGUCUAAUAAAUGAUGGACAUUCUUUCUUGGAGAUCAUCUGUAAAUGCAUGCAUGCUGGUGGUGGUGGUAUGGGUAGUACAGAGGAGUAGAACAAACAAAAAUCUUUCAGAAAGAAGGGGAUUAUCUUAUGUUUUAUGUAGUUAUCAUUGUAUAAUCUCUUAUACUUUUUAUUUAUUUAUUUGAAAUAGGGUCUUGCUUUGUCACCCAGGCUGGGGUAUAGGAGCACAGUCAUGGCUCACUGCAGCCUCAACCUCCUGAGCUCAAGUGAUCCUCCCACCUUGGUCUCCCAAAAUGCUAGCAUUACAGGCAUGGGCCACUGUGCUCAGCCCCUUUAUGUUUUUUAAUUGUGAUGAUAUUUCCCUGCGU